UACGUAGGGUGCAAGCGUUUGUCCGGAAUUAUUGGGCGUAAAGCGCACGUAGGCGGUUCGUUAAGUCGGAUGUGAAGACCCUCGGCGUCAACUGAGGAAGUCGCACCCGAAACUGGCGAGCUUGAGGUACGGAAAGAGGAUCGCGGAAUUCCCGGUGUAGAGGUGAAAUUCGUAGAUAUCGGGAGGAACACCGGCGGCGAAGGCGGCGAUCUGGGUCGAUACGUGACGCUGAGGUGCGAAAGCGUGGGGAGCAAACAGGAUUAGAA
rnacentral:rRNA from 1 species